rnacentral:rRNA from 1 species
GACGAACGCCGGCGGCGUGCUUAACACAUGCAAGUCGAACGGAAAGGCCCUGCUUUUGUGGGGUGCUCGAGUGGCGAACGGGUGAGUAACACGUGAGUAACCUGCCCUUGACUUUGGGAUAACUUCAGGAAACUGGGGCUAAUACCGGAUAGGAGCUCCUGCUGCAUGGUGGGGGUUGGAAAGUUUCGGCGGUUGGGGAUGGACUCGCGGCUUAUCAGCUUGUUGGUGGGGUAGUGGCUUACCAAGGCUUUGACGGGUAGCCGGCCUGAGAGGGUGACCGGCCACACUGGGACUGAGAUACGGCCCAGACUCCUACGGGAGGCAGCAGUGGGGAAUAUUGCACAAUGGGCGGAAGCCUGAUGCAGCAACGCCGCGUGCGGGAUGACGGCCUUCGGGUUGUAAACCGCUUUCGCCUGUGACGAAGCGUGAGUGACGGUAAUGGGUAAAGAAGCACCGGCUAACUACGUG